ACCUUCGGGUAUUGAGGAUGGCGGACGGGUGAGUAAUUGCGUAAGGAACUUGCCUCUUGGACUGGGACAACUGUUGGAAACGGCAGCUAAUACCGGAUAUUAUGAGAUUCUCGCAUGGGAAACUUAUGAAAGCUAUAUGCGCCAAGAGAGAGCCUUGCGUUCCAUUAGCUAGUUGGUGGGGUAAUGGCCCACCAAGGCGACGAUGGAUAGCCGGCCUGAGAGGGUGAACGGCCACAAGGGGACUGAGACACGGCCCUUACUCCUACGGGAGGCAGCAGUGGGGAAUAUUGGGCAAUGGGCCACAAGCCUGAUCCAGCAAUUCUGCGUGCACGAUGAAGGUCUUCGGAUCGUAAAGUGCUUUCAGUUGGGAAGAAGAAAGUGACGGUACCAACAGAAGAAGCGACGGCUAAAUACGUGCCAGCAGCCGCGGUAAUACGUAUGUCGCAAGCGUUAUCCGGAUUUAUUGGGCGUAAAGCGCGUCUAGGCGGAAAAAUAAGUCUGAUGUUAAAAUGCGGGGCUCAACUCCGUAUUGCGUUGGAAACUGUUUUUCUAGAGUACUGGAGAGGUGGGCGGAACUACAAGUGUAGAGGUGAAAUUCGUAGAUAUUUGUAGGAAUGCCGAUGGAGAAGUCAGCUCACUGGACAGAUACUGACGCUAAAGCGCGAAAGCGUGGGGAGCAAACAGGAUUAGAUACCCUGGUAGUCCACGCCG
rnacentral:rRNA from 1 species